rnacentral:rRNA from 1 species
GAUGAACGCUAGCUACAGGCUUAACACAUGCAAGUCGAGGGACCGGCGCACGGGUGAGUAACACGUAUCCAACCUUCCCUUUACUCGGGGAUAGCCUUUCGAAAGAAAGAUUAAUACACGAUAAAAAGGGUGGGGAUGCGUUCCAUUAGGUUGUUGGUUAGGUAACGGCACACCAAGCCUUCGAUGGAUAGGGGGUCUGAGAGGAAGGCCCCCCACAAUGGAACUGAGACCCGGUCCAAACUCCGAGGGGAGGCAGGAGGGAGGAAGAUAGGUCAAUGGGCGCUAGCCUGAACCAGCCAAGUAGCGGGAAGGAGGAAGGCUUAUGGGUCGUAAACUUCUUGUAUAUAAGAAUAUGUAUUAUAUGAAUAAGGACCGGCUAACUCCGUGCCAGCAGCCGCGGUAAUAC